AGAUCUUUUAUCAGGGACGAACUAAUGACGGUACCUGAAGAAUAAGGGGCUGCUAAACUCGUGCCAGCAGCAGCGGUAAUACGAGUGCCCCAAGCGUUACCCGGAUUUAUUGGGCGUAAAGCGUGUGCAGGUGGUUUGUUAAGUCAAUGGUCAAAUCCUUCAGCUCAACUGAAGAACUGCCACUGAUACUGACAAACUUGAGGCUGGAAGAGGCUAGCGGAAUUGCCGGUGUAGGGGUCAAAUCCGUUAAUAUCGGCAGGAACACCAAAUGCGAAGGCAGCUAGCUAGGACAGUCCUGACACUAAAACACGAAAGCGUGGGGAGCGAAGCGGAUUAGAUACCCGCGUAGUCCACGCCGUAAACGAUGUGCACUAGACAUUGGAAGUAUCGACCCUUUCAGUGUCGUUCAACAAAGGUAACCCGUUAAGUGCACCGCCUGGGGAGUACGAGCGCAAGCUUAAAACUCAAAGGAAUUGACGGGGACUCGCACAAGCGGUGGAUCAUGUGGUUUAAUUCGACGAUAAGCGAAAAACCUUACCAAGGCUUGACAUAUAGCUGCAAACCCUAAGAAACUAGGGCUCCUAUGAGGGUGCUAUACAGGUGCUGCAUGGUUGCCGUCAGCUCGUGCCGUGAGGUGUACGGUUAAGUCCGGAAACGAGCGCAACCCCUAUCCUAAUUUAUACUUUAUUAGGAAACUGCCUCGGAUAACGGGGAGGAAGGUGGGGAUGACGUCAAAUCAGCAUGGCUCUUACGCCUUGGGCUACACACAUGAUACAAUGGCCAGUACAAAGGGCUGCGAAGCCGUAAGGUGAAGCUAAUCCCAUCAAAACUGGUCUCAGUUCGGAUUGAGGUCUGAAACUCGACCUCAUGAAGCUGGAAUCGCUAGUAACCGUGAAUCAGAACGUCACGGUGAAUACGUUCUCGAGUCUUGUACACACCGCCCGUCACGUCAAGAGAGUCGGUAAUGCCCGAAUGUCGUUGUAGAACGGCAGAAGGCAGGAUUGAUGAUAGGGGCGAAGUCGUAACAAGGCAUCCGUAGCGGAAGCUGUGGAUGGAAACAACUCCUUUCU
rnacentral:rRNA from 1 species